UGGGGAAUCUUCCGCAAUGGACGAAAGUCUGACGGAGCAACGCCGCGUGAGUGAAGACGGCCUUCGGGUUGUAAAGCUCUGUGAUUCGGGACGAAAGGCCAUAUGUGAAUAAUAUAUGGAAAUGACGGUACCGAAAAAGCAAGCCACGGCUAACUACGUGCCAGCAGCCGCGGUAAUACGUAGGUGGCAAGCGUUGUCCGGAAUUAUUGGGCGUAAAGCGCGCGCAGGCGGUCACUUAAGUCCAUCUUAGAAGUGCGGGGCUUAACCCCGUGAUGGGAUGGAAACUGGGAGACUGGAGUAUCGGAGAGGAAAGUGGAAUUCCUAGUGUAGCGGUGAAAUGCGUAGAGAUUAGGAGGAACACCGGUGGCGAAAGCGGCUUUUUGGCCUGCAACUGACACUGAGGCGCGAAAGCGUGGGGAGCAAACAGG
rnacentral:rRNA from 1 species